CCUUUUGCAGCACACCGUUCAGGCCGUGCCGUCAUGUGUUUACCACCCAUUGCCACCCGUGCUCCAAACGGGUCGGGCUCUCUCUUGCAUUCUCGCAGCGCACGGCUGCCUCUCGCACCAUUGUUUGUUGACACCCACGCAGCAUUAUGUUGUGACGAUUGCACACGUGACCAACGUGAUCAAUAGGAGAGCGAGAGAGCUGUGCGUGCGUGUGUGGAUGUAUGUAUGUGUGUGUGUAGGGCUGGUGCCAUGUUUGUUUCCCACUUUGUACUCGGGCUUGUGUGAUAGUCAAAUGCGGGAGCAAACUGUUCACCGAAGCUCACGUGAUACAAACCACUCACUCUCUCGCAUCGCGCUUUCUCUGCCUUCAUUUUCGACCAGCUGGUGCUCGACGCACGAAAAGGAUACUCAUACGAAGCCGCACGAUGACUCUUUAUCGCUCUCUCUCUCUCUCUUUCGAAGCUCGUGAGGCUGGCAACGGCCGUUGGCUGUUCAGUCCAUUCAGUCGAGAUGUAGAUUUGGUGCGGGUUCGUUGGAUUACACUUUUUCGUCGCUACGGUGGCAAAUUGGCAUCCUGGUGGUGUACCGCCGACGGAAAGAGAAGGAUCUGAGCAUCACCGCCCGGCCCCCUCCUCCCCGCUCUCUCUCUCUCUCUCUAGUGAUCCGUUACGUGCGGCAAACCCCCCGUUAGAUGCGGGUGGUGCACUCGUGUGCUAUUCGUGUGUUUCUCCAAAGUGCAAAGUAACGCUUAAUUUACCAGCUUGCAAGCGUUGUGAACAACAGUGUGGAAGUGUUUUAUUUUCUCCCAGACACGCAGAAUGAAGAGUGAAUCGUGUGCGUGUGUCUAUGUGCUAGAGGCGAAUGAGUGAAAAGUUAAUCCAGAAUAGGAAUAGUGUGAUUACUAAAUGUGUUAAAAUCAAAAUAGAAAAAUAAAUAGUUCAAAGUGUAUGUUGUGAACGAAAAAAUAAUUGAAAAGUGUAAACACAGUGCUGGAAAAGGUGCUUAAUGUGAGAAGCUUGCUCGGUUUAACUUGAGAUUGUUCAUCAUUAAAAUUAAUGCCCACAAACUAAGCGCGCGCAUUCACGGGUUCAAUUCCCACCCGGAUCAUCACGUAGCGGCUGCGGAAACCGUCACGUUCGUCGUGUGUGUGGGUAAGCAACUUUUUCGUCCCUCUUUUCCAAGCAGCAUCUCGUUCAUCGAUCGUUAUUUCACAUGUGGGACCAUUAAAAGGGCACCACCACCUU